UACGGGGGGGUAAGCGUUGUUCGGAAUUACUGGGCGUAAAGGGCUCGUAGGCGGCCAACUAAGUCGGACGUGAAAUCCCUCAGCUUAACUGGGGAACUGCGUCCGAUACUGGAUGGCUUGGAUUUGGGAGAGGGAUGCGGAAUUCCAGGUGUAGCGGUGAAAUGCGUAGAUAUCUGGAGGAACACCGGUGGCGAAGGCGGCAUCCUGGACCAAUAUUGACGCUGAGGAGCGAAAGCCAGGGGAGCAAACGGG
rnacentral:rRNA from 1 species